rnacentral:rRNA from 1 species
UACGUAGGCAGCAAGCGUUGUUCGGAAUUACUGGGCGUAAAGAGUGCGUAGGCGGUGCUCUAAGUCUGUUGUGAAAUCUCCCGGCUUAACUGGGAGGGUGCGGCGGAAACUGGAGUGCUUGAGGGUGGGAGAGGUAAGCGGAAUUCCUGGUGUAGCGGUGAAAUGCGUAGAUAUCAGGAGGAACACCUGUGGCGAAGGCGGGUCUCUGGGCCGAAAUUGACGCUGAGGAGCGAAAGCGUGGGGAGCAAACAGG